GUCUACAGCCAUAUCACCCUGAAUGCACCCAAACUCGUUUGAGCUGGGAAGCUAAGCAGGGUCAGGGUGGGUUCGUACUUGGAUGGGAGACAACUAUAUUUUUAUUUC
rnacentral:rRNA from 1 species